AUGAACGCUGGCGGCGUGCCUAAUACAUGCAAGUCGAGCGAACAGACGAGGAGCUUGCUCCUCUGACGUUAGCGGCGGACGGGUGAGUAACACGUGGAUAACCUACCUAUAAGACUGGGAUAACUUCGGGAAACCGGAGCUAAUACCGGAUAAUAUAUUGAACCGCAUGGUUCAAUAGUGAAAGACGGUUUUGCUGUCACUUAUAGAUGGAUCCGCGCCGCAUUAGCUAGUUGGUAAGGUAACGGCUUACCAAGGCAACGAUGCGUAGCCGACCUGAGAGGGUGAUCGGCCACACUGGAACUGAGACACGGUCCAGACUCCUACGGGAGGCAGCAGUAGGGAAUCUUCCGCAAUGGGCGAAAGCCUGACGGAGCAACGCCGCGUGAGUGAUGUAGGUCUUCGGAUCGUAAAACUCUGUUAUUAGGGAAGAACAAAUGUGUAAGUAACUAUGCACGUCUUGACGGUACCUAAUCAGAAAGCCACGGCUAACUACGUG
rnacentral:rRNA from 1 species